UCUGUAAUUAAACAACAUAAACAUAACUCACUGUAUUUUUUUCCAUUGUAAAUAUUUUCUAUUCUGAUUUUUCGUGCGUUGUCACUUUUAAUUGAUUAUUUUGUAGAUUGUAAUUUGUAGCAUAAGUAUGUAGGCUCCAUUCUUGUUUACAGCAGCAUAAAUUCCCAUUGUUGUUGGCCAGUUGAGUCGUAGCAACGUAGAUGAUUUUCUUUUGCGGUUCUCUGAUAUUUUUUUUGUUAAUUUUUCCUAGAAAUAAGUAGAAAACGGUUAGAAUAAUGAAUUUUGUGUAGAAUUACCAAAUACUCUCCAGAUUUAGGCCACUAGUUUGCAGUUUUUCCGUUUUCCGAGAUUUUUCACGUGAAUUCAUAAAUUCCUUCCCACGUUUGUUUUGUUUCGAAAUCUGUCAGCGACGCUGUCAAAGCUUUGCAGGGUUGCUUUUAAUGCUGUCAGUUGAAUGUUGCAGUAUGGUGUUGCGCGACUGUCGCACAAGUUUUAAUUUAUAGCAACCAAAUUUCUAUAGAUGUGUCAAACUGACGGUUGAUGAUUAGAUUUUUGGAAGCUGUAAAAUUAACCAAUGUUUACGAAAGUGCCGAAAGUCAAUCAAGGAGUCAAUAUUUGGAUUGAUGUUGUUGAUUUGAAGCAAAAUUUUAAGUGAAUACAUGAGUUUACGAGUUGUCGGGACAUUUCCGAUAUGGUAGACGCGGUACAAGCUUUGUUUACGUUUUGAGUUGAGAGGUGGUUUUGAUAUUCUGCGUUCUAUGCUGCGAUUGGGAAAGGCCCAAUAAUAUAGACAAGCAGUUAUUUUUGAUUUUGUUGUUGUUUUUAAGAAACCCUUGCAGGAUUUGAUGACGGAUGCAAACACAAUUUCUUUCACUACUACAUGGUUUGAACUUUUUUUCUUUAGUAUUUGUUAUAAAAGUUAAACAAUUGUAAAUAUGUUUACUUAUAGUUAGUUGUUUAUUUCUUAAUGGAGUUAUUUUUUAGUUUAUAUUUGGGUUAUGAAAAUUUGAUCAAUUUUCAUUGAUCAAAUUUUCAUAAAAUUGCGUGGUGUGAUGUAACGUUCUGCGUUGAUUUGGGAAUUUAUAGUUUAUUUUUUUAUUUAAUUGGUAGAAAUAAUGCACAUCUUUACCCUACUCAUAUUCUAAGGUUCGUUUCCAAUAAGCGAAAGCUUGUUUCUUGGCUGCAGGGUUAUAGUAUUAGUAAGUCUUAAAUACCAUGGGUACGUUCUUGAGUACGUUGGUUGUAUUUUUUAGUUUGCUAUAAAGUAUUGCGAGUUUUGCGUGCGGGGUCGUAUCUGUAAAUACCAAGAGUGUGCAUGUGGGUGGUUAGAAAAUUUGCAGUUCAAAAUAUAGGUGGCAGUAAAUACUUAGUUUAAAAAAAAAUUGAAUUAUUCUUAACUAUUUGAUUCCAUUGGGUAACACAAAUGUCAAAAAUCCUCUGAGUCAUGACGAAGAGGGUUGCUGGCUAGAAAAGUUUUCCAACUCGUCUAUUUCGAUUACGGAGCGGCUGGAAUAAAGAAGUGCGCGUCGCGAGCAAUCUUUAUAAAAGUUAUUUUUUUCCUUUUUACGUUCAAUUUUUCUAAGUUCUUUCGAAUUAUUGAAACUUAAAUAAAUUUCGCGUCGAACUUCUUUAGUGAAAUAAUCUUUCGUAAAAUAAAAGCGUCGUCCCACGGCGCUUUUUAUUACGGGCUGGAUUUUUCUUCGCGGGAUCUGCGGAUUUCGUGCGUCGAGGCGAUCAGCUACAAGCGUCGCCAUCUUGUCGUUUGGAGGUUAAAGUUCGGAUUUUGGGCAAGCUGCCUGGCAGCGCCGCCAUCUUGUGCUAGGAGCGAUUAAAGGGUCGCAAGCUCGUGUGCCACGUUACGGCCCGCCCAUUGGGGUAGCUAAACAGAGGCGAGUGGCAAGUUCGUUAAAUUAACCGUAACGAAAUUAACGCAGUGGUCGUCAAUUGCCACCGUCGUUUAAAGUCACCAAAGAGGUGACAGCCGAGAGCCGGUAUUCGCUGUGCGCGCCAAUUACGUUCAGUGUUUGCCAGUCCAAGGGGAGGGUUCCCGUGGCCUUUAUCGGUUGUGUAGACGGAAACAGUAGUACGUGAAGGCCGGUAUUGAUACCCCAGCGUCCCUUCCUGCGGAAAUAAUCCGGAUUAGCUCGAUUCGUCGUGCGUAGUGCUCUCUGGCCCCGAAACCGGAAGUCUUCCGCCAGCC